GACGAACGCUGGCGGCGUGCUUAACACAUGCAAGUCGAGCGGUAAGGCUCCUUCGGGAGUACACGAGCGGCGAACGGGUGAGUAACACGUGAGCAAUCUGCCCUUCACUUUGGGAUAAGCACCGGAAACGGUGUCUAAUACCGAAUACGACCACUUCCGGCAUCGGAUGGUGGUGGAAAGUUCCGGCGGUGAAGGAUGAGCUCGCGGCCUAUCAGCUUGUUGGUGGGGUAACGGCCCACCAAGGCUUCGACGGGUAGCCGGCCUGAGAGGGUGACCGGCCACACUGGGACUGAGACACGGCCCAGACUGCUACGGGAGGCAGCAGUGGGGAAUAUUGGACAAUGGGCGAAAGCCUGAUCCAGCAACGCCGCGUGAGGGAUGACGGCCUUCGGGUUGUAAACCUCUUUCAGGAGGGACGAAGCGCAAGUGACGGUACCUGCAGAAGAAGCACCGGCCAACUACGUGCCAGCCGCCGCCGUAAUAC
rnacentral:rRNA from 1 species